AAACAACAAAGAAUUGUAUGGCCCAAUUCAUGCAAUUUGCAUUAAAUACUUUCUUCGUCUUACUUAACAGCUCGUACACCAAUAGUUUUGACACGGAAUCUAUACUGAGGUUGAGAAUCAUUGUCAUCAUCAUCGUCAUCGUCAUCUUCACUAGACUCAUCUUCAACCCUAUCCCAUCUUGAAUAGUCAAGCCGUGAAUGUCCUUUUGGCUGUGGGAUUGCUUCCCAGCUAGACGACGGUUGUUCAGACGAUUCCAUUUUUGGAACAUCACUGACUUCAGUUGUCUGUUUGACACUUUCAGACUCAGCUUUUAUUGUGGUUACUUCCACAACAUCUCUUUUGUCUUCUCCUACAUCAACUUCAGUGGUUUCUCUAUUUGUACAUUGUUCUUCCCAAUCAUCAUCAUCUUCUUCAAGCUCUGCUUCAUCUUCAGGUAUUGGAGCA
rnacentral:misc_RNA from 1 species